AGAACGAACGCUGGCGGCAUGCCUAACACAUGCAAGUCGAACGAGACCUUCGGGUCUAGUGGCGCACGGGUGCGUAACGCGUGGGAAUCUGCCCUUAGGUUCGGAAUAACAGUUAGAAAUGACUGCUAAUACCGGAUAAUGUCUUCGGACCAAAGAUUUAUUGCCUAAGGAUGAGCCCGCGUAAGAUUAGCUUGUUGGUGAGGUAAAGGCUCACCAAGGCGACGAUCUUUAGCUGGUCUGAGAGGAUGAUCAGCCACACGUGGGACUGAGACACGGCCCAGACUCCGUACGGGAGCAGCGAGUGGGAAUAGUUGGACAAGUGGGACGAAAGCCUAGACUCCGAGCAAGUCGCCGGCGUAGAGUGAUGGAAGGUCCGUUAGGUUAGUAAAGUCUUACGUUUACCGGGAUGAAUAAUGACGAGGUACCGGAGAACGUACGCCCGACUAACCGUCCGUGACCGAGCCGACGCCGUACGGUAA
rnacentral:rRNA from 1 species